CGGUGCCUGUGUGUGUGGCCAUUUUGCCUACAUGUAUUGUGUGUAUCAUGUUUGCGCUAUGCCUGUGAAGGCCAGAAGAGGGUCAGAUAUCAGAACUGGAGUUACAGACUGUUGUUAGGUGUCACACAGGUACUGCCGAUGGACCACGCCCUGCGGAAGAGCAGCCAAUGCUUUUAACCACGGAGCCAUCUUUUCAGUCCAACAAAGUGACUGCUUUGGAAGACAGUGUCUUAAGCCAGAUGAGAAUAUUAUUGCUGGGAAUUAACCUCGACUUGGAGUUCUGUUGACUGACCAUCUUUAGAAACUAGAGAAAGAGGAUUGUGGAAGACAAAGAAACGAGACCCAUUUCUUCGUUUCAUAAACAGACUAACCACCUGACACUUCGAAGAGUGGCCUGGUGAGUCCAACACAGGCCCUGAUUGUGAAGAGGCCUCAGUGGGCUGAUAGACAAAAACACUGAUUUUACUACAAUUUAUUCAGGGCAACAGUGAUUUAUCAUUAUCUCUCAAGAAACAUCAGGACCUUCACUAAAUCCAAAAACGUAGAGGGAGAUACAACGAGUGAUGGGACCGUUGGAUUUAUACACUGUGUGUGACAUGCUAGAUUCCUUGCUCAUGUUUCUUCAUGGACUCUCAAUAACAAUUCUUAGAUUAAAAGGACAACACUUUACAAAGAGGAUGACAAAAUUCUGAGUCAGGAUGAUUUGCCUGAACUCAGCUAAGCAGUGUGGACCAGAAAUCACAGUUUCCUUCUAAAAUCUACAUUAUCCAAAAACACUGAGCAGAAACACACUAAAUAGGAUGAGUACAUGUGUGUGGGGGGUGGGGUAUGCGUGCAUGUGCUCUCUCCCCAUGUCAAAUGCUUUCUAGUUUAGGAAACAGAAUAGUGGUUACAGUACUAGGAAAUGAACUUUGAGUAAUGGCUUCUGCCUCAUGGAAUGACACAUUUCUUUGCAAGUUCAUCUUCAUGAACAGACAUUAAACAGCUUGGCCAUUUAUCACACUAUCCUCCCUCUGCAUUUCAAGCAUUUACAAGGUCCUCUGCUAAAAUAGAUGUAUUAGAGGUAAUUAUAACUUGUACUUUUGUCAAUGCUUCUAGUUCCUAGUUUGGGGUCAAGGACAUUGUACUCUGGGAUAGGGUUCUGUGCCUGAUUCAAAUGGGUUUGUUUAACUGGCAAACAGGGUUAGAGAGGUCUCUUUCUUACUGCAGGAGCUUUCAGAGCCUUUAGUAUGCUAAUGACCUGAUGACUUUGUAGAGAGAAUUCAGUGUUCCACAUUUCCCAAGCUUUCAUGACCAUGAGACUCUUUGUUCUUUGAGCACCAAUUAACACUCACAAGAAUUAGUGUGUGCAGAACAGAGAGAGUCCCAGCUCCAUAUAACAUUAGCAGCCAGUACCAGCCUUGGGCAGGCUAAGGAGGUGGGUAGAGGAAAGGUUAGGGAUGGAGGAAACCAUAGAUUUACCUUUUACUCGGUUUUGCUGGGACGAGUUGUAAUUAUUUAGACACUAGAACAAUCUUAAUGAACAGGGUGAUCAUUAAUCACAUAAACAUAAAUGAUCUUCAUCUAAAUCGCCUAAAGCAAACAUGAAUAUUUACUAUAAACAUCAGUGGGAUUUUCCUGACUCUUAAGUUUUUCUGAAUGGUACUUGAAUAUGCUCUUUAUUUCUAGAUUAUAUAAAAGUAAUUAAAAGAUUAAUUGGGGGUAAAUGGAAUGUGAGAUUUUGACAUAAGCCCUGCAAAUUUGCUAAGAACUGACUAAAACCCAUAAAGAAUGGAUCAUCUGCGCUUUAUUAGUUGCAUUGUUCUGAGCAAACAGCCCUGUGAUAUCAGAGACAUCUUUCAAAAGUACAUUUUCCAAGUUAUUUUCCAAGAUCACAGUUUCUGCUGGGCAGUCAGGCAUCAGUCUCUCUCUGUGAGCUGGGAGCCCCACCUUGGUCCUGACUAGGGUUCUCCACCGCGGGUCUCUGCCAAGAGUGGUUGCUUCUGGUUCAUGUUUACGCUGCAUGAAAUCCGAAGGCAGAACGCUUAAAGUCCCCAUCCACACUUAAAAGCCUUCAAUUACAGGUUGCCUCUGCCACUCCAAAUCUGUGUGCUGUGUUAUACUUGUCAUUGCUAUGGAACAUCCUGCUCUGGCCCUGCGACUAUAUCCAUCUAAGUGUCAUAGUAACCGUGGGAGCUGCCCUGCCCUGCAGUUCCCUCUUGAGGUCCCUGGAGUGUGUCCAAGUAUGCUAUACAAUAGUAGCAUUGCCUAGAAAUGCCUGUGCUCCCAGAGCGAGAAAGAAGCCCUCAUGACUCUCUAAGGAGUGGUAGAUUUAAAAAGACAUGGACUUCAUUUAUUUGUUUCACAUCGUAACUGUUUGGUCAUUCAAAUGUCUUCCAGAAUCCCAUGGAAGAUCACCUACAUUGAAAAAAAAAUUCUAAUGUCUUUCUAUCUCUAAAACUGCUCUUUGCCACCAACAGAGUCCCAAAAUAGCAAGUGAUAAAAAUUACCAUUGGCACUAAUGGCAAUGAGGCCACCUGUUCAGCUUGCUCACAACCUUGAGUGACUUUCACAUUCAGCUGGUGAUCAGCAGAUAGACAUGUGACCUGGUCAUCAGGCCAUUAGUGCAGAGCAUCGAUCAUCAGCUUCUUCCUCCAAGGUGGUUCACUUAUUCAUGGAAUAACAAAGUUUGAGUAGGGUUAUUUUACAGAUUUGGUCACCACAGAUCCUAACCUGGAUCGGUCCAUAUAGUUUCGCAGAAGGGGGAUAAGAAAAGUGUACUUCGGCUGAUGUUUUCAAUUUUCCUGAGAAAAGAAAUGUAUUUACCAGAUCCUAGUCAUUUCGAUAAAUUGAAUUUCUAUACUGA